rnacentral:sRNA from 1 species
AUGUAUCACGUACACGUCGGCUCUUCUGCGCCGUUCGUACCACCAAGGGCCGCUCGCCGCGCUUGUCAGCC